AAAAAAAUAAUUAUUAUAUAUGAAUACUGAAUAGUUGUAAAUUCCUACAUAUUUUUCAGAGAAAAAUGUUUAUCAUAUCAGUUUACAUAACAUUCUUAAUAAGUCGUGUUGUUUGUUUUUCAAUAACUUUAGAUGAAAGUCCACUAUAUAAGGAAGACUUUCAAUCAUUGAAUCACACGACUUACCCAGAAACAAUGGACAUUGACGAUGAUGAUAAUUUUGUAACAACAACAAAAAUAUUUUUGAUAUUUGGAUACAUAAUGUUGUUGAUCAUGAUAGUAUACGCUUAUAAAAGAACUAAUAAGAAUCAUGGAUUAUAAGAUUUUUUCAAGUACUGUUAAGUGUAAAGGACAACAGAAACGAGAAAUAGUCGACGAAAUCGCCCAAAAAUACCUAAGUAUAUUUACAACAAUAUGUUUUAUCAGACGGAAUUAAUUUGAUGCUUAAUUCAUUGACAUGAACAUAAUAUUGAACCUAAAUCAGUAUUACUGUAUUAAAAACAAUAAUUGUUUUUCGUAUGCAUUGUCUUGUUUGUUUGGUGACGCCUAGACCACAUGAUGUAGAACAAGGAGUCCACGGUGACCACGGAGACCAUUCUCCCCAAUCAUUAGU